rnacentral:rRNA from 1 species
AUUGAACGCUGGCGGCAUGCCUUACACAUGCAAGUCGAACGGCAGCAUGAUCUAGCUUGUUAGAUUGAUGUCGAGUGGCGAACGGGUGAGUAAUACAUCGGAACGUGCUCUGUAGUGGGGGAUAACUAGUCGAAAGAGUAGCUAAUACCGCAUACGACUUGAGGGUGAAAGUGGGGGACCGCAAGGCCUCAUGCUAUAGGAUCGGCCGAUGUCUGAUUAGCUAGUUGGUGAGGUAAAGGCUUACCAAGGCGACGAUCAGUAGCUGGUCUGAGAGGUCGAUCAGCCACACUGGGACUGAGACACGGCCCAGACUCCUACGGGAGGCAGCAGUGGGGAAUUUUGGACAAUGGGCGAAAGCCUGAUCCAGCAAUGCCGCGUGUGUGAAGAAGGCCUUCGGGUUGUAAAGCACUUUUGUCCGGAAAGAAAUGGCUCUGAUUAAUCCCUGCAGUCGAUGACGGUACCGAAAGAAUAAGGCACGGCUAACUACGUG